GGAGGAGGGGGCUUGGAAAUCUGUAAAAAUCAGCAAGCAAACAUGAAGAAAACUAAGUGACCAUUAAGAGAGAUAAGAGAAAUAAGUCCUGCAAUCCAUCCCAAUUGGGCAGUGGCCCAUUCAAGAGAUAGCACUCCUGAACACAAAUAAAGAUUAAAAAAAAUAAAGAAAUUAAAAUAAAGAUAAAGAAAAUAAAUAAAGAUAAAGAAAAUAAACCCAACACAAAUAUUGAGCAGUGGC
rnacentral:misc_RNA from 1 species